UAUUAUUUUAAGGAGAAACACAAAAUUAGUUGAAACAAAUUAAUAAAAAACAAAUAAACACAAAAUUUAGGAGAAAUAAUUUUUGAAAAAAAUAAUAAUAUUAAUUUAGAAAAAAAAAUAGCUAGAAACCAACCUAGAAUUAUUAUAACAAGAAACACUAAAUUAUUGGUAACAAAUCAAUGAUUAAAUUUAAAAACAAAUAAAUCAAAAUAAAAACCAAACAAAAAUUAAAAAAAAAAAUCGAAUUAUAUAAAUUAUAAAAUUUCCCAAAAUAAAAACAUAAAAAUAAAGAAACAAAGGCUUAAAAAACACGUAAGGAUACAAACUAAUUACCGAAAACAAUAAAACAAACUAAUGGCCGAAAAAAUGUAGAUAAAAUGGUAGAAAAAAAAGAAAGAAAAUGGAUAGAAUAAAUCAAGGAUAAAUCAGUAAAUAUACUAAAUCCAUAAAACCGGCC
rnacentral:lncRNA from 1 species